GGGUAAUUCUCUGAUGUGGGGCAUCCUGUGCACUGUGGGGUGUGGAGCAGCAUCCCUGGGCUCCACUCAGCAGAUGACCCCCCACGUCAU